UGAGUUAUGUCAUGUUAUCGAUAUGUGAAUACAUAGCAUAUCAGAAGGCACACCCGGAGAACUGAAACAUCUUAGUACCCGGAGGAAGAGAAAGAAAAUUCGAUUCCCUUAGUAGCGGCGAGCGAAACGGGAAGAGCCCAAACCAACAAGCUUGCUUGUUGGGGUUGUAGGACACUCUAUACGGAGUUACAAAGGACGACAUUAGACGAAUCAUCUGGAAAGAUGAAUCAAAGAAGGUAAUAAUCCUGUAGUCGAAAAUGUUGUCUCUCUUGAGUGGAUCCUGAGUACGACGGAGCACGUGAAAUUCCGUCGGAAUCUGGGAGGACCAUCUCCUAAGGCUAAAUACUCUCUAGUGACCGAUAGUGAACCAGUACCGUGAGGGAAAGGUGAAAAGCACCCCGGAAGGGGAGUGAAAUAGAACCUGAAACCGUGUGCUUACAAGUAGUCAGAGCCCGUUAAUGGGUGAUGGCGUGCCUUUUGUAGAAUGAACCGGCGAGUUACGAUUUGAUGCAAGGUUAAGCAGUAAAUGUGGAGCCGUAGCGAAAGCGAGUCUGAAUAGGGCGUUUAGUAUUUGGUCGUAGACCCGAAACCAGGUGAUCUACCCUUGGUCAGGUUGAAGUUCAGGUAACACUGAAUGGAGGACCGAACCGACUUACGUUGAAAAGUGAGCGGAUGAACUGAGGGUAGCGGAGAAAUUCCAAUCGAACCUGGAGAUAGCUGGUUCUCUCCGAAAUAGCUUUAGGGCUAGCCUCAAGUGAUGAUUAUUGGAGGUAGAGCACUGUUUGGACGAGGGGCCCCUCUCGGGUUACCGAAUUCAGACAAACUCCGAAUGCCAAUUAAUUUAACUUGGGAGUCAGA
rnacentral:rRNA from 1 species